GCCACUCCAUGGAUAAAACUGUACAGUUGACCCCCUGUUUCUCGGCUGCUUAUUGGAGGGCUGUGAUGUCCACAUUUAAAGAAGUACAGAUCCGAAUCUGCAAAUUUGGUCCAUGCUAGAAUCAGUGGCUACUGAUUUACUAUUGUCUCUUGCACUUUAUAUAAGUAGAAUAAGUUGCUCUUGCUCUCGUUUGUUUGACUCUAGUAAUCAAGGUCAGAUUUUUGUGUCUCGGCAACUGCCCAGUUGAAAAAGGCAAUUGAAAAAAUAACCUUGCGCAGGUUUUGGACAUCUUCCCUUAUCUUUUCUGAAUAGGUGAAGACUAACUAAGGUUCUUUGUUGCUGACCUGCCGGAUUUGUUUGUAUUCAAUGAGAGAUUACCUCAGUGUGAUUGAGAAAGCCCUGAUCAGUCCCUCCGGUCGAAGCUUUUGCAUUUAGUUGCACGCUUUGUGGGCUGUUUAUGGCCUUGUACGCGAAGCACAUGGAAUUCGCUAAAUCGAUCGCCUUAAUGGCACUGACACAGACCCAUUCAUUCCAACAUUUCGAUGGCGCUGCUGUGACUCGGGAAGCCAUCGAGAAGGAGGACAAAGUACAUAUCGUCGUGCAUGUGGUCGUCGUCGAUGGCGAGGGAGGAGAUUGGGCGGUCGAGGAAGGAGUCCGCGUGGCAUAGCAUCUUGUCCGGGAGCUCGAAUGUGAUCUUGCCAGCGACUUAGUUCCAUCGAGGCCCUCGUCGUUCGCUCCCAAAAGACGAACAAUCCUCUCUGCUCUCGCUCUCUCCCGCACACAUUUUCUUCGUCAUUGCUAGUGUGCGACUGUGUGAUGCUCUUGAUUCACUGUCAAUCCAUCGCAUGAGUUGCGCUAAUAUUCCGGUUCGAUGAUUUUUGUAGCUUGACCCACUAUUGUUGUUAACUUUGCAAUUAAGUUUCGUCUGAGAGGAGUAGGGAGGCUUCGAGAGCAGACUGUGUAAAACUCUUGCGAUGCAUCUGCCGAUUGUUGCCCCUUUCUAACUGAACAAGAUUGCAUCAAAGAAGGUGAAAAUAGUGGCUGAGUGAAACUCUUCAGCUUCACAUCUCGCUGCCA